GAUGAAGAACGCAGCGAAAUGCGAUAAGUAAUGUGAAUUGCAGAAUUCAGUGAAUCAUCGAAUCUUUGAACGCACAUUGCGCCCGUCAGUAUUCUGGCGGGCAUGCCUGUUCGAGCGUCAUUACGCCCCUCAAGUCCCCUGUGGACUUGGUGUUGGGGAUCGGCGAGGCUGGUUUUCCAGCACAGCCGUCCCUUAAAUUAAUUGGCGGUCUCGCCGUGGCCCUCCUCUGCGCAGUAGUAAAACACUCGCAACAGGAGCCCGGCGCGGUCUACUGCCGUAAAACCCCCCAACUUUUUAUAGUUGACCUCGAAUCAGGUAGGACUACCCGCUGAACUUAAGCAUAUCAAUAAGCGGAGGA
rnacentral:misc_RNA from 1 species